GCCUUCUUCCCCUGGCCUUUGACUCUCCAGUAGAGAGCUGCCAUGCUGGAAAGGACCCAGGACGUCUGGUUCUGCAAAGAAAAGCCCUCCACCACAAUGUACAGUCAUGUCUCGGAGAUAUUGCUUGUUGGUUACAGACCUCCACGAUGAAGUGAAUAUUGCAAAAAAGUGUUUUAUAAUGAAAAUUUUCAAAUGCAUAUACAAAUAAAGGAAACAGUAUAAUGAACUCCAUGUGCUCACCACCUAGAUUCAACAUUUAUCAACAACUCAUGGCCAUACUCAUGUACUCGAGGUAAUCGUUGUCCCGUGGAAUGAAUUCGGGAGCACUGCCUUCUCUUCAGUUUUUUGGAAUACUUUGAGAGGAGUGUGUUAUCUGUAAAUAGCACAUAAUUGGGUUCAACAUUUUAACCUAGUCUGAUGUGAGCACUCUAAUUGAGAACAGCCUCUGCUUUAAACUGGUCGAGAGUAAGGGCUGCUGACCCCAAAACGUAGACCCACCCUAGGAUGAGAAGACAACAGUGAUGGUAGGCAGCUGACCCAACCAUCUGGACCUGUAAGAUCAACCCCACUAAUUUAACUGAACUGUUUACCAAAUGUGUGUCUCUCUAUCAACACUGAAAGUUAUUUUUUUACUUCUAACCAUACUGUUGCCCUUAAUGUUUAGGAUGGUAAGAAAAUUCUCAAGUGAAGUCGUCACAGAGAAUUAUGAAUUAUCUUGACCACUUGUGACAUGUUUCACUGCAAGUCUACUGCUAAAAUUUUAUAAUUAUAAAAUUUUAAAAUAAAGUUGUAAUUCAGUAUAAUUGGUAAAAUGUAUAGCCUAUAGAAACAUUUCCAUUAGAAAAAAGAAAGACUGGGAAAAACUCGAAGCCCCUGGUGGAAAGCCACAGCCGGGAGCCUCUAAGUACCAUGGUUCUUGUGGCGGACUGUGUCCCUGCUCUGUGCGUGUGGGGCUAUUCCAGAAGACACUCGUUCUCGUAUGGGACUCAGAGCAUUAUGUCAGGGCAGUCCUCACUUCUAACCAUCUGACUUGCUCCCUCGCACCUCAAGUCACUUGGCAGGAAAGAAGGUGGGCAGAGAACAGCCCUGGCCUAAGUAAGUGCUUAUUCUGGAGGUACGAGUCGGCUGCUGCUGUGGUGUCCUGGCCCCUUAAUCCUUCUGAGUGAAGCCCACGCUAAGUGAGGCCAAUUACAUGAGUAUAAAAUGUCUAACUGGAUCUAAGACCAUCUACAGCAGUCAGUGUAAUUCCUUUCUGCCUUUCGUAUUGCUUUUGCCAUGAACUAUAACCUCAGAAGACAGUACUGUUGUUAUUUAGUAUCAACAUACUUAUUUACAUAUACCUUAAUAUUUACUCUUGCUGUAUUUUCUUUGCUUUUUUCUGUUUUUCUGAGUUUCUACCUGGAAUAGUUUUCCUUCUGCCUGAAAAAAAUCCCUUCAGUGAUUUUUAAUGCAAGUCUGUUGAUUAACAUGUAUCUUUCAGUUUCUGGUGGUCUAAAACCUUUAUCUAAACUUCAUUUUUAAAAAUCCAGGUAUAAUAGAAAUGCUCAGACCUUAGGAAUAACAUUCAGUUUUGAUUAUUACUUAAAGACUCAGAAAACUUCCAACACUCCAGAAAGUCCUUUCAAGCUGCUUUCCUUCCCCUGACAAAGCAAUCACUCUUCUGAUGUCUACCACCAGAGGUUAAUUUUGCCUGUUCUAGAAUUUGUAUAGUUGGGAUCAUACACCAUACGUUUUUUUUUGUGUCCAGUGACUUAAUAGCACAAUAUUUAUGAGAUUCAUCAAUAUGGAUAUAGGGUGUUUUAGAAUAGUAUCCAUUGUAUAAGUAUAACACUGAUUAUCAAUUCUCCUAUUGAUGGGUAUCUGAUUCCAGGUUUUUGGCUGUUACAAAUAAAUCUGCCGUGAACAUUUUUAAACAAGUAUUUUUGGACAUAGUUUUCAUGGUGUUUCUCCGGUGGCUCAGACAGUAAAGAAUACGCCUGCAAUGCAGGAGACCUGGGUUCAAUCUCUGGGUCAGGAAGA